GGGUAUACCUCAGUGGUGGAGCAUGUGCUUAGCAUGUACGAAGUCCUGGGUUCAAGCCCCAGUACCUACA
rnacentral:tRNA from 1 species